UAAUUUCUCUAAAUCUCCACCUCCUAGAGCCCAGGUAUGUAUGCACCCCCAAGAUAAAGAGCCUAGAUUACUAGGAAAAGAGUGCCUAUACCAAACAAGAUUAAGCGAAUGCCCAAGAUCACAGUCGUUCUAUUUCUAACUUGCCA
rfam:Beta vulgaris subsp. vulgaris chromosome 7, whole genome shotgun sequence.